rnacentral:tRNA from 2 species
GCCUGAGUGGCGGAACUGGUAGACGCGCACGACUCAAAAUCGUGUACCGCAAGGUGUGCCGGUUCGAUUCCGGCCUCAGGUA